GAUGAACGCUGGCGGCGUGCUUAACACAUGCAAGUCGAACGGUGAACACGGAGCUUGCUCUGUGGGAUCAGUGGCGAACGGGUGAGUAACACGUGAGCAACCUGCCCCUGACUCUGGGAUAAGCGCUGGAAACGGCGUCUAAUACUGGAUACGAGUAGCGGCCGCAUGGUCAGUUACUGGAAAGAUUUUUUGGUUGGGGAUGGGCUCGCGGCCUAUCAGCUUGUUGGUGAGGUAAUGGCUCACCAAGGCGUCGACGGGUAGCCGGCCUGAGAGGGGGACCGGCCACACGGGGACUGAGACACGGCCCAGACUCCUACGGGAGGCAGCGGUGGGGAAUAUUGCACAAUGGGCGAAAGCCUGAUGCAGCAACGCCGCGUGAGGGAUGACGGCCUUCGGGUUGUAAACCUCUUUUAGCAGGGAAGAAGCGAAAGUGACGGUACCUGCAGAAAAAGCGCCGGCUAACUACGUGCCAGCAGCCGCCGUAA
rnacentral:rRNA from 1 species